rnacentral:rRNA from 1 species
AGUGAACGCUGGCGGUAGGCCUAACACAUGCAAGUCGAACGGCAGCACAGGAGAGCUUGCUCUCUGGGUGGCGAGUGGCGGACGGGUGAGGAAUACAUCGGAAUCUACUCUGUCGUGGGGGAUAACGUAGGGAAACUUACGCUAAUACCGCAUACGACCUGCGGGUGAAAGCAGGGGACCUUCGGGCCUUGCGCGAUUGAAUGAGCCGAUGUCGGAUUAGCUAGUUGGCGGGGUAAAGGCCCACCAAGGCGACGAUCCGUAGCUGGUCUGAGAGGAUGAUCAGCCACACUGGAACUGAGACACGGUCCAGACUCCUACGGGAGGCAGCAGUGGGGAAUAUUGGACAAUGGCGCAAGCCUGAUCCAGCCAUACCGCGUGGGUGAAGAAGGCCUUCGGGUUGUAAAGCCCUUUUGUUGGGAAAGAAAUCCAGCUGGCUAAUACCCGGUUGGGAUGACGGUACCCAAAGAAUAAGCACCGGCUAACUUCGUGCCAGCCGCCGCAGUAA